AAAAUGAGUCUGGGAGCACAGGCAGAGGGAUCGGACAUGCAGGACUCGCUCACCUGGGUGCGUAGCUGCGUACAUGCCCGCUGCGAGUCGUGGAGCUGUGUCUCGAGCUCCCGCAGCAGCUGCCUCUGCACACACACCUGCUCCUGGAGCGCAGAGUUUUUCCCCUGAAGCUCCGACAGGGCUUUGUGAGAUUCUACAGACUGCACCUCCACCGUCUGGGUCACAUACUGCGGACGAGAAAAGGCAGGUGGCGCCGUGGCCUGCCGGCUCAGCUCCUCCUCGCACUCCAGUAUGCGGCGGCUCAGUUUGCCCUCGGCCUCGGUCUGGCAGCGCUCGGACUCCUGCAGCUGUCUGGUGGCCUGGUCCAGUUCGCGGUGAAGACUCUCCACUUUAGAGCUCUUCUCCUGGACCUCCAGCUCCAGCUCGGCCAGGCGGCGCUCCCUCUGCCGCGCCUGGCUCUCCCAGCGGGACACCUCCCUCUGAAGGGUCUCUGCAUUCUGCAAAACACAGAACAAAGUUUGCAAUCAUUGAGGUUUUGUGGAUUUAGGCAGAAGUCUCCGUCGUAUGGAAAACCUCAGUGAGAAAUUUUGCGAUAUAUUGUGCAGCCUUAUUAGAGGAAGUCAGAAAAUGCUCGUCCGGGCGUUUUUACCUGGCUGUGGGGGCAGUUGGGGCAGUUUUCGGAGGCGGGGUCGGAGCUCUUGCAUGUUUUCAGCUCCUGCUUCAGACGCUGGUUCUCGACCACCAGCCGCUCCAACUGCUUCUCCAGGUCUGUCGCCCCCUACAGGACAAACAUGUGCAACACUUGAACCCGGCAGUACUAAAGUGCUGUAGCCAAGGCCUGAAAAUAUUCACCAAGUUAAAUAAUAGUUCGAGCAAGCGAGAUCAAUAGUGGCAACAUCGACUAAAUGUAAUGACUGGUUUGUCGACGCUAGGCAGUAAAGUUGUGACAAACAGAACAUACGUGCACAUAUACAGACUUUAUUGUGGCAUCAGAUAAACCUAAUAAGUCUCCUGACAAAAAUACAACAAAAAUAGGCAAUCAUGUCUGUGAAAGCUCUCAUCCAGGAAUGUUCCAUCGAAGUUAAAGAUUUAUGACAGGUUUUAAUGCUUGUAUAUAUGACGAUGGAUAACAUCUGUUGUAAGUAAUAAUUAUCAGUGAAGCAACAAAAGAAAUGUUGGGAAAAAUUUUUAGUUUCAUUUGCAUUUUUAAGCUACUGACAGAAAGUGACAUAGUGCUAAAAGUUCCAUAGCAGCUUGGCUCACUCCUUGUAAAGGAGAAUUGGUUCUCAAUUGACUUACAUGGUAAAAUAAAUUAAAAAAAAGAAAUCCCCAUUGACAAAAUGGAUGGCACGGCAACAGUUUUAACACUUUGCCUCUAUCUCCAGUAUGUCACUUCCUGUCAGUGUCCAUUUAGGAAGUGAAACUAUAAACUAAAUGGUUAAACAAAACAAAAAAAGGUGUCCAAUGUGUCAUAUGCACUUUAAACAUGGUCGUCGAGACUGGGCUGAUCCAGUAGAGGACGUUUCGCUGCGAUCUUCAGAAGCUUCUGCCACUUGUAAUGACAUUUUCUUGGACAUUGCAUUGGUUAUUCGUUUCAGGGUUUUCAUGUUUG
ensembl:lncRNA